AACCCACGGUGAGGGAAACUUUUCAACAAAUCCUUGUAUCUCACCCAUGCAUCGUAGAGUGUUUCUAAAUCAUCUGCAUAAAAGAGGAGAUAUUAUUAUGUAAUU
rnacentral:snoRNA from 1 species